CAAGUUCCGAUGUCUCUGGGAGAAGG
rnacentral:piRNA from 1 species